NNGGCCAUUAGCUCAGUUGGUUAGAGCGCCCGGCUCAUAACCGGUAGGUCUGGGGUUCGAGUCCCUGAUNCCCCUUCCA
rnacentral:tRNA from 1 species